rnacentral:rRNA from 1 species
AUUGAACGCUGGCGGCAUGCUUUACACAUGCAAGUCGGACGGCAGCACAGAGAAGCUUGCUUCUUGGGUGGCGAGUGGCGAACGGGUGAGUAACAUAUCGGAACGUACCGAGCAGUGGGGGAUAACUAAUCGAAAGAUUAGCUAAUACCGCAUAUCUUCUGAGGAAGAAAGCAGGGGACCAUUUGGCCUUGCGCGGUUUGAGCGGCCGAUAUCUGAUUAGCUAGUUGGUGGGGUAAAGGCCUACCAAGGCGACGAGCAGUAGCGGGUCUGAGAGGAGGAUGGGCGACAUGGGGACGUGGACACGGCCCAGACUCCUACGGGAGGCAGCAGUGGGGAAUUUUGGACAAUGGGCGCAAGCCUGAUCCAGCCAUGCCGCGUGUGUGAAGAAGGCCUUCGGGUUGUAAAGGACUUUUGUCAGGGAAGAAAAGGGCGGGGUUAAUACCCCUGUUUGAUGACGGUACCUGAAGAAUAAGCACCGGCUAACUACGUG